AUGUUUAGGAAAAUAUACCAAGGUGGUUCCUCAAGGAAGCAAGGUCCAAGGCCCGCGAUACGUGAGCCGGACAAUGAACUACCAAGGGAAGCUCAAGUGCGGCCUUGUGAAUGGCCGUCAGAGGAGUUUAUGGUCGGAGCAGGUAUCAAGGAUGAAUUUGACGCGUAUGUGUGUAGUGCUGAUCUUGAGGGCUUCAUUUCAGAUAAGUGCCCGCAAUACCGUUACUUAACUGAUUCCUUUGUGAGAAGGUUUAAAUUUGCAUCCUCGCGUAAUUCUCACACUGUUUUAUUUGAUCUUUAUGAUAAAUCAUAUACCAUGGACCUAGAAGAUUUUAAUACUGCUUGUAAACUCCCGCAGUGGGGAAAUGUUAGUGAACCUCGCAAAUCUGAAUAUAAAGAAUAUCUUGCUAGUAUCACUAUGGGGGAAUCCAGAGAAAUCACACAAGCUACCAUAGGGAGCAUUCAUUUCCCUUCUAUACAUUAUUUUGCUCUCUUUAUAGGUAGGUGCAUUAACGGUAAGGAUGAGGCAUGUCACAUGUGCAUUCCAGAUCUUAGUGUUCUCAAGAGUGCGGUAUUAGGAGAUAAACAAUAUAACUUUGGGGCCAUUGUUGCACGCAGGUUGCAUCAUAACAGUAUAAGUAGAGAUUUGUUUGGUGGAAUUUAUGCAACUCGUUUAGCUAAUUAUCUUGAGGUACCCAUGCAUGAAAAUGAUAUGGAGUUGCCUCCUGCUUAUCUAGAUUAUAAUGCUAUGGUUCGCCACCAGUUUGUUGAGAGGAAUGAACAGUCCCUCCAGUACCGACUAAUCUUUGACAGACGUUGCACUGUCCAUGUUGCUCUCCUUGCUCUUGCUUUCUUUGACUUUCAGGCAAAAAGGAGAUAUGUUAUAACCAGGGAGGAGGCGAACGAGUAUGAGAGGAGGACGGAGGCAGCUCGCCUCCAAGCUACAGCUCGUCAGGCAGUAGCUGCUGCACCUCAAUACGACCCCAGCUUUAACUUUGGAUAUUAA
rnacentral:rRNA from 1 species